GGACUCUAGGUCAGUGGUAAGAGAAUCUGCUUCCACCGCAGAAGGACUUAGGUGCAAUUCCUAGCAGAUCCA